UUGGCAGAGAUGCCUUGGUGCCUUCGGGAACUCUAAGACAGGUGCUGCAUGGCUGUCGUCAGCUCGUGUUGUGAAAUGUUGGGUUAAGUCCCGUAACGAGCGCAACCCUUGUCCUUAGUUGCCAUCAUUUAGUUGGGGACUCUAAGGAGACUGCCGGUGACAAACCGGAGGAAGGCGGGGACGACGUCAAGUCAUCAUGGCCCUUACGAGUAGGGCUACACACGUGCUACAAUGGCCAGUACAAACGGUUGCCAAGUCGCGAGACGGAGCUAAUCUGAGAAAGCUGGUCGUAGUCCGGAUUGGAGUCUGCAACUCGACUCCAUGAAGUCGGAAUCGCUAGUAAUCGCGAAUCAGAAUGUCGCGGUGAAUACGUUCCCGGGCCUUGUACACACCGCCCGUCACACCAUGGGAGUGGGUUGCUCCAGAAGUGGCUAGCUUAACCUUCGGGAGAGCGGUCACCACGGAGUGAUUCAUGACUGGGGUGAAGUCGUAACAAGGUAGCCCUAGGGGAACCUGGGGCUGGAUCACCUCCUUA
rnacentral:rRNA from 1 species